CUGUAUAUUAGUUUAAAUAACUUACCAAAACAAUUGAAACUGGUGUGAUUAUAUUGCAUUAUUUUGACAAAAUUAGCAGAAUUUUGCAGAAUUUUUAGUUUUUUGGUGCAGAAUCCCCCCAUGAAUAAAAUCCCAUGGGAGUAGGAAUAAUUUAAGAAAACCACAUCAUCACUUAGAUGUACUUCACUUUAAACAUCCUUAAAUGCAUUUAAAAUGUACAUAGCAGCUGUUGGGUUAGCUAAAGCAGUGGCUCUCAAUCUUUCCAGAUUACUGUGCCCCUUUCAGGAGUUUGAUUUGUCUUGCAUACCCCCAAGUUACACCUCACUUAAAAGCUACUUGCUUAAAAAGUGAGACAUAAAAAUACCAGCGUCACAGCACACUAUUACUGAAAAAUUACUUACUUUCUCAUUUUUACCAUAUAAUUAUAAAUAAAUCAAUUGGAAUACAAAUAUUUCUGUGUGAUAUUUGAG